AGAGUUUGAUCAUGGCUCAGGAUGAACGCUAGCGACAGGCUUAACACAUGCAAGUCGAGGGGCAGCGAGGGAGUGGCAACACUUCUGUCGGCGACCGGCGCACGGGUGAGUAACGCGUAUGCAACCUGCCCUUCACAGGGGAUAACCGGGAGAAAUUCCGACUAAUACCGCAUACGUCCCCUGGGGCAUCCCCUGGGGAUGAAAGAAUUAUCGGUGAAGGAUGGGCAUGCGUGAUAUUAGGUAGUUGGCGGGGCAACGGCCACCAAGCCCACGAUAUCUAGGGGUUCUGAGAGGAAGGUCCCCCACAUUGGUACUGAGGACACGGACCAAACUCCGUACGGGAAGGCCAA
rnacentral:rRNA from 1 species